UCCAAACAUACUUUUAUGUUCUCCCAUGACAAUGUCCAGCUAUUUUAGCUACUCAAUUCAAUGAGAAACAAAGGCAGUGCGAUGCCAAUCCAACAAACAUCAAGGGCUUCAGGUGAAAUUUUUAUUCUUGGUUCUUCAUUCAACUACUCCAACUUUUCAAGCUUGCUUGUGGCGUUAAUCGUCGACUUAUGACUCACAAUUCUUUUCUCCUUCCCCGAGUUUGGUGUCAAUUCUUGUAACUCAGGUUGACGUCACAGUACGUCAAGAAGUCAUGAAAUCUUUUGCAGCUAUCGAUCUCUCGAAUAGAGAAGUUGACAGGUGUUGCACAAAUUUGUAAACCUAUUAUUAUCCAGCAUAAAUUAGUCGGGUAUACUGCAGACUUGCAAGAUUUAUCGCAUGUGAUACAGGAUGGUUAGAAAGAUGCCUUGCUGAGGAGAAUGUUGAAAGAGCAUAUAUAUAUUGAUUCUCUGUUCUUUAAUUUGGUAUUUAGUUGAUAACUUGAAUUUAAAGAUUGAUUUCAAUA